rnacentral:rRNA from 1 species
CCUACGGGAGGCAGCAGUGGGGGAUAUUGCACAAUGGGGGGAACCCUGAUGCAGCGACGCCGCGUGGGUGAAGAAGCGCCUCGGCGCGUAAAGCCCUGUCAGCAGGGAAGAAAAUGACGGUACCUGAAGAAGAAGCCCCGGCUAACUACGUGCCAGCAGCCGCGGUAAUACGUAGGGGGCAAGCGUUAUCCGGAUUUACUGGGGGUAAAGGGGGCGCAGACGGCGAUGCAAGCCAGGAGGGAAAGCCCGGGGGCCAACCCCGGGACUGCUCUUGGAACUGCGUGGCUGGAGUGCAGGAGGGGCAUGCGGAAUUCCUGGUGUAGCGGUGAAAUGCGUAGAUAUCAGGAGGAACACCGGUGGCGAAGGCGGCCUGCUGGACUGCAACUGACGUUGAGGCCCGAAAGCGUGGGGAGCAAACAGGAUUAGAUACCCCUGUAGUC